rnacentral:misc_RNA from 1 species
AACGCACGAGACCUGCGGACCUGCGGAAGGAUCAUUACCGAGUUUACAACUCCCAAACCCCUGUGAACUUAUACCUUUACUGUUGCUUCGGCGGGUCAUUGCCCCGGGGAAACAGGUGCCGCCAGGUCCCUGCCCCCCCGGAAACAGGCGCCCGCCGGGGGACUCAAACUCUUCUGUAUUUUUUGUUUACUGUAUACUGUCUGAGUAAAAAUUCAUAAUGAAUCAAAACUUUCAGCAAUG